AAACGGAUCGCGUUGGGUGAAGGUGACGGCGUCGAGCGACCUCUCUGACCUCAUCUCCUGCCUGUGUCCUCCUCGCUCCCUCUGCUCCAGCCAAGCAUGCGUCCUUCCUGUUCCUGGGCCGAGCUUGCUCCUGCCUCAAGGCCUUCACGUGGGCUGUGCCUCUGCUGGAACUCGCUGGCCCCUCAGCUGCAGCAUUGACUUCCAAAGACUCCUGGCACAUGAGGAAGAAACCCAGAAGAGGAGAGCAAAGGAGUCAGGAAUGGCUUUUACUCAGUUGACAUUCAGGGACGUGGCCAUCGAAUUCUCUCAAGAUGAGUGGAAAUGCCUGAACUCUACACAGAGGACUUUAUACAGGGAUGUGAUGUUGGAGAACUACAGGAACCUGGUCUCCCUGGAUCCAUCUGUGAUAGCCUCUCUUCUUAUCCAAGCAAAGGGCUGAGAUUCUUGAAAAGCCACAGCACAUCAUGUUCCAUUCAUUUUAUAAGCGGGAAAUUCUCUUCCUGACCAGAGUAUUAUCCUAUGUGGGAGCACAGGAAAGAGCCCUGGACCAUAGAAAGCCAAGUACGAGUAGCAAGAAAACCAAAAG
rnacentral:lncRNA from 10 species